CCUUCUCCUCUAUUGUUCUUAUUCUUUGUUCUUGUUAGUUACCCUUUGUCCAAGUUCUUCUCUUCCUCAGUCCUCCUCCAGUGUCUGAGAGGAUAAGGACAGCUGUUAGAAUUUGGAUUGUAAGUGAAACCCACUUUUCAGCCUUCUUGUUUUCCCCUUCACCCAAGUUGCAGGAGGAGAGUUGGGUUGGUGGUUCCAUAAUUGACAUUUAUAAUUUGGCCCUAAGUCUUGAGAUACAUUAAUACUUUUCCAAACUGUCACUUUAGAAUUUGAUGUAGAGCUUCUAAAUAAAAGAAGUACGACGUUUAUUUGGCCAGAGUUGAGACUUUUGGUUUUCAUGGGCGGGAAGCAAUUCUCACUCUAAAAAGAUGUUUUUAAGUAUUCUUUUAUUGACCGAGACUGGAUCUUCUUUUUAUGUCAGCUGGAAACGUACUUGCGUAGUACAAGGCUUCUGUUACGAAAUAAAAUAAUUUGUUAAAGCUGUGUCCCCUUACAUUUUGCCUACAGAUAGCUGGCACAUGCCAUGAAAAAGAACAAGAAAUCAUUCUCAGAUGUUCCCUUACUUGUUGUCCAAAGCCAAAGGUCACCAUGUAGCAGCUUUUCUAAAUUAGGAAAUCUGAAAUCUGAUCACUCUAUAUAUAAUUAUUUCAGAAGAAGCAAUGUCUAAAUAGACCUCUGGGAAAAAGCUUUCAAGGUGUUUUAUUUGAUACUGAAUGUAUUUUUUUUUUAAUUGAAGGAGGAGCUAAGUAGUAAAAGGAGAAGCUGGCUUUACUCAUAAAGUAUAAGGAUAAACUCCUCCCCUGCGAUGUGCUUUAUCAACAUCCUGAGAAGAUGCUUUCUGAGGCACCAUUAAUUAAUGCGUACCUGGGUGAUUCUCUUCUAUGGCCAACAGUCAAUCAAUGAUAUAACAUUUCCUACACAUCUUCCCACGUCCUUAAUUGAGAUGGUCAAUAAUUGUGCCCCUUCCUUAUCAAUUCAUAGAUGGGAGGAAAUAAAGUUUGGGGCUCCAUAAAGUCAGCACAAUGAGAGACAUAUGGAAGUUCCCAAGCUAGGGGGUUGAAUUGCAUCUAUAACCUACACCACAGCUUGCAGAAAGCACUGGAUCUUUAACCUACUGAGUAAGGCCAGGGAUCAAACCCCCAUCCUCACGGACACUAUGUCAGGUUCUUAACCUGCUGAGCCAGAACAAGAACCCCCCAGACCCUUGUAUCUUAAGAUUGUUCCUUUGACCCUUUAAAGGCAUCUAGGAGAACCUUUUGUGGAUAUGACCUGUGAGCUACAUCAUCUUAAUAGUUGAACACUAAGAACCAAAGUAUUACUACGAAGCCAACUGGUGUCUAGGGUUUUGUUUAGCUGUUCCUCUGAGAUGAAAAUGCAAGCAACUAUAGCAGGAUUGUAUUUAAGUGUGGCUCUUUUCACUAGCUUAUUCCCUUCCAGUGUUAUGCAAGUGCUGCCAGUUAUAUGUCCACUACCCUCUAUUAUUUCUUUUUAAUUAUUUUGUAAGAAUAACUCUAAUUAGCUUCCAUUUGUUAUAUUUUCUCAUUUAAAAGUAAUUUAAAUUUCGCUCGUGGUAUCUUCAAGCAAUAUAUUAUUGUUAAAAGGGGGAUUUGCAAAUGACACCAUCUGCCAACCAGAGGAAAGCAUAGCACUAUGUCUACACAAAGAAUACCAAUGUAUUGUUAUGUUGUGAGAUCUUGAUUUAACCCACUGAUUUUUUAAAAAUACCAACAAUUUCUAAAGAAAUAGUCAUUUCAAUUAAUAGUAUACAGUAGCUAGUUAUAGAUACAAUUUUAAGCAAGAUUUUAUAAGCACCAACACUUAGGAACAAAAAAAUAUGUUUGAAAACUGGGAACCUUAUAAAAAUGAAGGAAACAUGGGCACUGGAAUCACACAGUUGGGUUCAAGUUCCAGCUACAAACCUGUCUUACUGACAAGGGAAUGAGAAUUGCAACUUAGCUUGUAUCAGUAGACUCAUUGCCAAUAUUAAUUCUCAUUGAUAGAUACAGAUAGGCAAGUAAGACUCGUCAAUGUGUGAGGAAACCAACUGGUAAUAUUGUCACCGAACUCAACUGACAAAUGAAGUCACUAUAAUUUAUCUUUUUUUUCACUGUGGCAUUGUCGCAAUAGCAACGUAUGCCCAUCAAUAUAACUUAAUGGUUGCAUUAAUUGUUCUACAUCUCUCUUUUCGACUAUUAAUGGGGCUAUGGCAAAGAACAUGGCAUGUUUAUAUGUAUUUUCAUAGAAAGAAAAACAGAAUAUAUUCUUAAGUAGAAAAAAUAAAUUUCAGAACCUUGUGAAGUAUGACUGUGUUUUUGUUGACACAAUACAAACAUAUUCAUAUAUACAAGUAAAUCCUCAGUAAAAGGCCUGGAUCAAUGUAAUGAAGCUCUUACAGUGGUCACCUCUGCAAGGGGAAGUGGAUGAGGUGGAGGUGGGGGGGGUGCGUGAAGGGAGGCCUCAUUCUAUUCAAUUCUAUAGUCUAUGUUAUUUGGGUUGGUUUUUGAAGUAAAGAUAUAUUCAUAUAUUUCUUCCAUAAGGAAAACAUUUUAAAGUCACCCAAAAUAGUAUGUUUAAUUAUUAAGUCAGUGUAGAAUUUUUUUUAAAAGUUCCUUUUUUUUUUGGCUAUAUCUCACCCCAUGUGGAUAUUCCUAGGCCAGGGCUCAAACUCACCUCACAGCAGCAACCCAAGCCACAGCAGUGACAACACAGGAUCCUUAACCUGCCACAAGAGAACUACUAAAACUCGAUUUCUUGGAGUUCCCAUUUUGGUGCAGCAGGAUUGGCAGCCUCUCUAGUGCCAGGACACAGGUUCAAUCCCCAGCCCAGCUGGGCACAGUGGGUUAAAGAGUCUCAGAUCUGAUUCCUGGCUGGGGAAUCCUUAUGCUAUGGGGUGGCCAAAAAAGAGAGAGAGAGAGAGAGAGAGGAAAGUUCUUGAGGUAGUAUACAUCUCUCUACAGGAUCCUAUAAUAUUUUCAUUCUUUUUUAACCUGCUUUACUUUCUGAAUCCCAGAAUAACAUAUUACUGAGAAGAACAGAAACAUUUCUUCCUAAAUCCACUGAUUGGGAGCCCAUCAUGAGCCUGAGGUAGUCAUAAUGUAACCCAGCUAUUGCCUACCAGACAUUACAUGGUCAUAUAAAGUAGGACCCAAAAGAACGUUUAGAAAAUGGUCAUAGGAUGUCAUAAGCACAUGGAGAGGCGUAGGGCUGGGACAUUUUCUGUGAGGAAGGCAAGAUUGACCACCUAGGGCGAGAAGCCAAAACCAAGCAUUGAAAGAAAGAGACAUUCUUAUGGGCAAAGACAGAGGUGAUGUUUAAGGCCUAUUCAGGGGGCAGAGAUCAAGACAAAUGAAAUGCAAAGUUAAGCAUUUUCGAGAAACUUUGGGAGAAAAUGACAAGUUGUCGUGAACUGGGAAUGGACUUGUAUACUAAAUGCAAAUGUCGAAUUGUAGCUGCCAGGGGAGGUGACAAGUGGCAUAAAAAUAGAUGCUGUAUACUGAAGUGACAGAGCUAGUUUGGGAUAGAGUUGAGAAUGACAACUGUGUACAUUAUGUUUAGGUUUUGAAAACAGAAGUGUAAUAUACUAAAAGGACCAGGGUUGAGAAAACCAAGAGCUAUAUUCUCCCCUCCCUCUGCUUUUCUGGGUGGAUCUGUGUCAUGGUUUCCUUUCUUUCUGCACAUGAGCUUGUGCAGGCCACGUAGUCCACCCCGCCAUAGAUGGCCACCCCCCCAGCUCCCCCCCUGCAUGGUGUAGUCCUGUAGACAUAAGUACUGGAGUCCCUCUCACCCAAUCUCUCAUCACACCAGGAGAGAGAUCUGAUGUGCCAACCUUGCCCCUAGAACCCAUCCAGUUAUUUUCCAGUGAUUGCAUCAUGACCCUUGUGCAUUCACCCCAAAGUGGGGAUGCAGUUUGCAGGGAAAGUGGGAGAUUGACUUGUGAAUCGGAUACCUUCCCUAUCUAUUAAAUAUAUGACUGUUAGCUGUACAAUAGCCAUUGUAGAUAUUUCCCUUUUGAAACUAUCUUCAAUAAAAAUAUUAUGAAGACAUAUCUUGUGACAAAGCAUUGGUCCCAUGUCACUGCUCACACCAGUUCACCAUCAAUAACUGCAAUUUUUAUUUCAUGGACUCCUCAGGUAUGAGAGAAAAUAAGUCAAAAGGGAAACAAAGAGCCUUCCAUCUAAUCAAGGAAUAUUGAAGUCAAUCUUGGGGGAUUUUUUUUCCAUUUUUCUAAUGGAGACUGUGUCUUGAGCCAUGGCUUUCUACAUCUUAAUCUACUUAAAUGUUGUAAUCAACUGGUGUCUACAGGCUUUGAUUGCUCUUUUUCUGCCCCAUUUUACAAAUGGAAAAGAGAAGCACUUAAAGUGUCUCAAAGCUACAGGAGACUGAGGAAAAUAGACUCGAAUCAAUAAACACAUAACUUUAAAGAAAAUUCCAGAGCCCAGAAAAGGCUCUGAUACUAGAAAGAAGGCCUAGAAGAAACAAGAAUCUAUAAACCAUGAUAAGUAAGCAAUGUAAAAGUUUAACAAUUGUGAAAGGCAGCUAUUGAAGGGGUGAAUUUGUCAGCAACGCUGCAGUUAACUGGCUAGUCACUUGUAUGAUGAUAAGUCACUUGUACUAUGAUUAGUUCAGAGACAGGCAAUAUCCAAGGUGAGUGGACAUGUUCAACAAUUUGUGUAUUCUGGUGUAGGGACAUUAUCCCUAAAUUGAGCAGUUAAAAGAGAAUUUGUUGUAAAAGGGAAAAUAGCAUUUAUAGACACAGUCACGUAAAGGAGAGUGGAAUUACAAGAUUAAGUAAAUAAAACCAAAGCUAGAAUGGAAUUUAUUUUAAGUAACACAUGAAUGGCAUAGAAGUAAGGAUCAAAAUGGGUUGCAGCAACUCCGAGUUAUGAGGAAAUAAGAACUAUAGUAAAGCAGAAGCUACACAGAAUGAAAUGGUAAAAAUUAGUGAAUUUGAGGUGGGAAGCCAUAGAGUAGAACUGAGUCUGUUAAAAAUGAAGAGUAUUCCUCAUGUUUAUGGUUUUCAUUCAGAUCCGUAGGUACUCACUGGGUU
rnacentral:lncRNA from 1 species